rnacentral:misc_RNA from 1 species
GAUGAAGAAACGUAGCGAAAUGCGAUACGUAAUGUGAAUUGCAGAAUUCAGUGAAUCAUCGAAUCUUUGAACGCACCUUGCACUCUUUGGUAUUCCGAAGAGUAUGUCUGUUUGAGUGUCAUGAAAUUCUCAACCCCCUUGUUUUGCAAUGAAACGAUUGUGGGUUUGGAUUAUGGCUGCUGCCGGCGUUAUUGUCGACUCGGCUGAAAUAUACGAGCUACCCAUUUCUAAGAAAUAGACGGUUUGACUCGGCGUAAUAACAUAUUUCGCUGAGGACGUCACAUUCUUUUACAUUAGUGGUGCUUCUAAUGCGACAUCUAAACUAAGCUUUAGACCUCAAAUCAGUCAGGACUACCCGCUGAACUUAAGCAUAUCAAUAAGCGGAGGA